UGAAGCUGCACGAUUACUUCUUGCUCAUGGUGCUUCUGAGGAUGAUUUAACUGAGGUUAUGGAGCGACACCACUAAAGCUUGCGGUUUUGCACGCAGUUCGAACUGAAGACUGUUCAAUUGUCAAGACAUUGCUCGAGAAUAAUGCUGAUUAUAAUGUUAAAGAUGAUAAGGGCAUGACCGUUCUAGA